rnacentral:rRNA from 1 species
CCUACGGGAGGCAGCAGUGAGGAAUAUUGGUCAAUGGACGAGAGUCUGAACCAGCCAAGUAGCGUGAAGGAUGACUGCCCUAUGGGUUGUAAACUUCUUUUAUAUGGGAAUAAAAUGUUCCACGUGUGGGAUUUUGUAUGUACCAUAGGAAUAAGGAUCGGCUAACUCCGGUCCAGCAGCCGCGGUAAUACGGAGGAUCCGAGCGUUAUCCGGAUUUAUUGGGUUUAAAGGGAGCGUAGGGGGAUUGUUAAGUCAGUUGUUAAAGUUUGCGGCUCAACCGUAAAAUUGCAGUUGAAACUGGCAGUCUUGAGUACAGUAGAGGUGGGCGGAAUUCGUGGUGUAGCGGUGAAAUGCUUAGAUAUCACGAAGAACUCCGAUUGCGAAGGCAGCUCACUGGACUGCAACUGACACUGAGGCUCGAAAGUGUGGGUAUCAAACAGGAUUAGAUACCCCUGUAGUC